GCCCUGGGUGAACCAUGUAUGAUAUACAUAA
rnacentral:piRNA from 1 species